CCUACGGGAGGCUGCAGUGGGGAAUAUUGGACAAUGGGCGAAAGCCUGAUCCAGCCAUGCCGCGUGUGUGAAGAAGGCCUUCGGGUUGUAAAGCACUUUCAGUGGGGAAGAAAGCCUUGGGGCUAAUACCCUCGAGGAAGGACAUCACCCACAGAAGAAGCACCGGCUAACUCCGUGCCAGCAGCCGCGGUAAUACGGAGGGUGCGAGCGUUAAUCGGAAUUACUGGGCGUAAAGCGCGCGUAGGCGGUCUGAUAAGCCGGUUGUGAAAGCCCCGGGCUCAACCUGGGAACGGCAUCGGAACUGUCAGGCUAGAGUGCAGGAGAGGAAGGUAGAAUUCCCGGUGUAGCGGUGAAAUGCGUAGAGAUCGGGAGGAAUACCAGUGGCGAAGGCGGCCUUCUGGACUGACACUGACGCUGAGGUGCGAAAGCGUGGGUAGCAAACAGGAUUAGAUACCCGUGUAGUC
rnacentral:rRNA from 1 species